GCAUCUUACAAUCAUUCCGUUCACUAAAUAAAGUGGCCUUAUUGCUUACAGUAUCCGGAAAAUAAACCAAACCACAAAAACGAAACAUUUUCAUAGUUCCUUAUACCCUGUCACAUUCGUAAUGUAUGUGCCUGUUCCAAGUCAGGAGCCUAUAAUUCAGUGAUUGUCCUUUGUUUAUGUGUAACAUUUAACUGUUUUCCAUUUUUUGUACAUAAAUUAGGUUGUUAGUUUUCUGGUUUGAAUUGUUUUUGUUGUCAUUUCUGGACCUUUUAUAGCUGACUAUGCAGUAUAACUGGGAGUACUCUCAGAUCUGUUAAUUGUGUCUUUUUGUGUAGGGAUGUAUAAAUACCCGGCCACGUCCACUUGUAUUUUUGUCCAUCUGAUGAGUUAAGCCUUUUUCAACUGAUUUUUAUAGUUUAUUCUUAUGUUGUACUGUUAUACCACUGUCGCAGGUUAGGGGGAGGGUUGGGAUCCCGCUAACAUGUUUAACCCCGCCACAUUAUUUAUGUAUGUGCCUGUCCCAAGUCAGGAGCCUGUAAAUCAGUGGUUGUCGUCUGUUUAUGUGUUACAUAUUUGUUUUUCGUUCAUUUCUUUAUAUAAAUAAGGCCGUUAGUUUUCUCGUUUGAAUUGUUUUACAUUGUCUUAGCGGGGCCUUUUAUAGCUGACUAUGCGGUAUGGGCUUUGCUCAUUGUUGAAGGCUGUACGGUGACGUUUAGUUGUUAAUGUCUGAGUCAUUUUGGUCUCUUGUGGACAGUUGUCUCAUUGGCAAUCAUACCACAUCUUCUUUUUUAUAUUUGUUCAUUGUUAAGGCUGUAGGGUGACCUUGAGUUGUUAAUUUCUGUUUCAUUUGGUCUCUCAUGGGGAGUUGUCCAAUCAUAC
rnacentral:lncRNA from 1 species